rnacentral:rRNA from 1 species
CUGGCUCAGGAUGAACGCUGGCGGCGUGCUUAACACAUGCAAGUCGAACGAAGCACCUUAUUCUGAUUUCUUCGGAAUGAAAAAUUUGGUGACUGAGUGGCGGACGGGUGAGUAACGCGUGGGUAACCUGCCUCAUACAGGGGGAUAACAGUUAGAAAUGACUGCUAAUACCGCAUAAGACCACAGCACCGCAUGGUGCAGGGGCAAAAACUCCGGUGGUAUGAGAUGGACCCGCGUCUGAUUAGGUAGUUGGUGGGGUAACGGCCUACCAAGCCGACGAUCAGUAGCCGACCUGAGAGGGUGACCGGCCACAUUGGGACUGAGACACGGCCCAAACUCCUACGGGAGGCAGCAGUGGGGAAUAUUGCACAAUGGGGGAAACCCUGAUGCAGCGACGCCGCGUGAGCGAUGAAGUAUUUCGGUAUGUAAAGCUCUAUCAGCAGGGAAGAAAAUGACGGUACCUGACUAAGAAGCACCGGCUAAAUACGUGCCAGCAGCCGCGGUAAUACGUAUGGUGCAAGCGUUAUCCGGAUUUACUGGGUGUAAAGGGAGCGUAGACGGAGUGGCAAGUCUGAUGUGAAAACCCGGGGCUCAACCCCGGGACUGCAUUGGAAACUGUCAAUCUAGAGUACCGGAGAGGUAAGCGGAAUUCCUAGUGUAGCGGUGAAAUGCGUAGAUAUUAGGAGGAACACCAGUGGCGAAGGCGGCUUACUGGACGGUAACUGACGUUGAGGCUCGAAAGCGUGGGGAGCAAACAGGAUUAGAUACCCUGGUAGUCCACGCCGUAAACGAUGACUACUAGGUGUCGGGCAGCAAAGCUGUUCGGUGCCGCAGCAAACGCAAUAAGUAGUCCACCUGGGGAGUACGUUCGCAAGAAUG